CUCGUAGUUGGAUUUCUGGCAGGAGUGACUGACCACAAACUCUGUUUGUGAGUUGUGUCAUUCUGGCCAUCCUUGGUAAGAUCCUUUUUGGCAUUAAGUUGUCGGGAAGGGGAUGACCAUCGUUUACUGUGAAAAAAUUAGAGUGUUUAAAGCAGGCUUAUGCCGUUGAAUAUAUUAGCAUGGAAUAAUAAGAUAGGACUUUGAGUCUAUUUUGUUGGUUUGCGAGUCAAAGUAAUGAUUAAUAGGGACAGUUGGGGGUAUUCGUAUUUCAUUGUCAGAGGUGAAAUUCUUGGAUUUCUGAAAGACGAACUACUGCGAAAGCAUUUACCAA
rnacentral:rRNA from 1 species